rnacentral:rRNA from 1 species
UACGUAGGGUGCGAGCGUUGCCCGGAUUUAUUGGGCGUAAAGGGCGCGUAGGCGGUCACGCACGUCCGUUGUGAAAUCGCUCGGCUCAACUGGGCGGGGUCAGCGGAUACGGCGUGGCUGGAGCAAGCUAGGGGGCAAUGGAAUUCCCGGUGUAGUGGUGGAAUGCGUAGAUAUCGGGAGGAACACCAGUGGCGAAGGCGGUUGCCUGGAGCUUUGCUGACGCUGAUGCGCGAAAGCGUGGGGAGCGAGUCCGG